rnacentral:rRNA from 1 species
UACAGAGGUCUCAAGCGUUGUUCGGAUUCAUUGGGCGUAAAGGGUGCGUAGGCGGCGCGGUAAGUCGGGUGUGAAAUCUCGGAGCUUAACUCCGAAAACUGCAUUCGAUACUGCCGUGCUUGAGGACUGGAGAGGAGACUGGAAUUUACGGUGUAGCGGUGAAAUGCGUAGAUAUCGUAAGGAAGACCAGUGGCGAAGGCGGGUCUCGUGGACAGUUCCUGACGCUGAGGCACGAAGGUCAGGGGGAGCAAACGGGG